CCCCUAAAGUCUGUCUGCCGGACUUAAAACUCUGCGGUAUUCGGAGUUUGGUUAGGUUUGGUAACGAGAGGGCGCUAAUCUCCAAAAGAUGUCUCAGUUCGGAUUGCACUCUGCAACUCGGGUGCAUGAAGUCGGAAUCGCUAGUAAUCGUGGAUCAGCAUGCCACGGUGAAUACGUUCCCGGG
rnacentral:ncRNA from 1 species